rnacentral:rRNA from 1 species
UACGGAGGGGGCUAGCGUUGUUCGGAAUUACUGGGCGUAAAGCGCACGUAGGCGGCUUUCUAAGUCAGGGGUGAAAUCCUGGAGCUCAACUCCAGAACUGCCUUUGAUACUGGAGAGCUCGAGUCCGGAAGAGGUGAGUGGAACUCCGAGUGUAGAGGUGAAAUUCGUAGAUAUUCGGAAGAACACCAGUGGCGAAGGCGGCUCACUGGUCCGGUACUGACGCUGAGGUGCGAAAGCGUGGGGAGCAAACAGG